GUCUGUCUGAAACAUGCUGCUACACAGAUCUACUCUCUGCUCCUCUCUGAACGUGAGAUGCUGCAUCCUCCAUUGACCACAUGUUGGAGCCAAACAUCAGAGAUGGGAUAGAGCUACAAACCUGAUGCCUGUGGGACUGCAGGUGGAGCCUCUGACGAGCUGCUCUGUGAGGAGCUUAGUGUCCCGCUGAAGGCCGACUACAGGUGGGAGUGGUGUCGGAGCAGCUGGGGCAGCAAACACCAGGAAGAGCAGCGUGCUGAAAGGGGGGUAGGUCUGACAUUUCCACAGUAUUUUCUAUGUCAUGACUUGAAACCCAAUCGUGUACUGCCGUGGCAGAGACUCCUCCUCUCUGCUGGGGAAUCUAAACAUUGGGAGAUAAACGUCAGGACUUGGCACAGGUUCACGUUAACCCUGUUUACCAGAACCUGACUGAAGACCUGAAACAUUCUGCUUCUGUGCACUCAUUAACUCUUCACUUCAGUAUAAAUGUUCUGCUAAUUCUUUUUUACUGUUUCCACUUCAGUCCAACGUGCCCGUCUCGUCUGGAUGAGAAGGCCUUCUGCUGGCCAUAACCCCCGGACACACCCGGGUGUAGUUUCUUCAGCAGGCGUGUCUGCUCCCCCUGACGGAGGUGCAGGGUCAAUGUAAACAUCUGUUACAUUUUGUUGGAAAGAAUCACCUGCUGUGAUACCUGCUUGAAUUGUAAUAAAAGUUGAACUUGAAGAACCUCACAUUA